UCUCCCGAUCACCCACAAGGAUACUGUUUACACAGAUGUCUGUGACUAUUGAUCUCUAGAUCAGUUUCGUACUGGAACGGAGGCCCUUCAUACAGCUUUGUAAGCCGGGGAAGUUCAAGAAUUACCCUUGCCAAGCCUCUACUGCUCUUAUUGGACAUGCUCUCCUUACACAAAAAUUCCAGGAGCAUUUCCAGAGGAGUCUGGGGAUGACAGAAGGGUGUCUUCAGAUAGUCACUGUCCUUGUAAGUGGAUAUACAAUAGCGGAGGAAUGGGGUUUUUUUUCUUUUCUUUUUUUCAGAGCUGGGGACCGAACCCAGGGCCUUCCGCUUGCUAGGCAAGCGCUCUACCACUGAGCUAAAUCCCCAACCCCAGGAAUAGUUUUUUUACUCACCUAGAACACACAUGAACUCUGGAGGCUAUGAACCUGUUCUAGUGUGCUUUUCUGUUGCUGUGGUAAAAUACUUGGACCAAAAACAAGUUAGAGGAAGAAAGGGCUUUUUUCAGGUUACACUUUCAGGGUACAGUCCGUCGUUGUGGGAGGUCAGACCAGGAACUCAAGGCAGGGCUGCUUUGCUAGUCCAUGCAGCCUCCUCUUUGGUGGGGACUCACUCACAGCUGAGGAAGUAAAGCAGGAACCAGAGGAUGCUGCUUGCUAACAGCUCUGCUUGCUCCUCACUCAGGCGCAUGCUCAGCUAGUUUUCUUAUACAGCCCCGGCCCAGCACCCAGGGUUGGUGCUGUCCACAGUAGGCACAGGACCUUCCUCACCAAUCAUAAAUUAAGACUGUCCCUCACAGAUGUGCCCACAGAGCAACCUGAUUUGGGCAAUCCUUCAAUUGAGACUCCUUCAGAAGAUGACUCUAGGCUACGCCAAGUUCAGUACUGAAACUAACUAAAACAGAACCUGUUAUCAGUUAUAGAAAGAGUAAUUAGGACAAUGAAAACAUUCCAUUCUGAGGGGAUGGGAGUCCUGGGUUCACAGUAGCAUCAUGAAAACUCCAGCUUCUGAGCUCCAUUAGAGCCAGGGUCUCUCUUCAAGAGAGACAUGAAACAACAACAUCUUUGCCUCUAGAUAUCACCCCAGUGAGAGAAUGAACAAGUGACUCCCCUGGUCUCUCUUGAUCAGCCAAAGAGUUCAUCAGAGUUGCUUACAGCAGCGCGGGGGUUGGGUUACUCACAGCAUCGUGUGUGACCCAGAGAGUCAUGUCACCCAAGAGCCCACUCCGACACGGCUAACGACCGUGAAUACUGCUCUGCUAGAGUUCUCUGAAGAAUCUACAAGAAGGUACAGCAUCCAAGAGUCCCGUAACCACAGCAACCGUUAGCUGCUUAUGUAACCCCAGAAAGGGGACUCUUGGAAACUUUUUCAGUCUCAUUAUCUCUUUCACUCCUGCAAAGCAAUGUUUCGAUCUGGAGUAAAUAAUUGUCCAGCAUUCCCUCUCUUCCUCCAGCUCUUACAUCCACACAAGUCUUUGCAAUGUUCCCACGUACAGGGAAAAUGUAGAUGUCAAGAGCAUGGACCAAGAGUAAUACACACUUUCCUUAUCGAUUUGGCCAGCUAUGAGUCUCCACCGUAGCACUGAGGGAAAAAAGAAAUUUCACUUCAGGACAGUGAUUGACAGAAGCUGCAUUGUUUGGGUGUGAAUGUGCAUGCUUAGACAGUAAUGUGAUAAACAUGUUCAUCAAUGUAACAGAACAAUAGCCAUAGACUCCACUCCAAAGCCUACGGCCUCUGCUGCCACAGGAUUUCACCACCUUCCAGUACGGAUCCUUCCCAGGGUUCUCCCCUGGGAAGUUGGCUUUACACUCAACCACAAAGUAGUCAGUUCACUGCAGCCGUACCCCUGUCAUACCAGCAGGACUGUCCUGACCUGGCCUGUGCUGACCACAAAACCAUUUGCCACAGUUCUCCCCAGAAUCUUGCUUAGCCCUUUUCUGACACUGUAAAUGUUAACUGGUAGGAAAGGAGUUUUUACCCUAGUCUGAUUUCCUCACGUCUUAAUCUGAAAACAAAAAGUGCUCAAGCUCUGCCCAGUGUGGAGUCAGAGCCUCCUCCUGGCUGCCUUCAGCAAUCAGUCCCCUUCUGCUGCCUGAAGAUCAAGAUGGCUCCUUCAGCACCAUGUCUGCCUACAUGCUGCCAGACUUCCCACCAUGAUCAUAAUGAAACCUCUGACGCUGUAAGCCAGCCCCAAUUAAAUGUUUGCCUUUAUAAGAGUUUCCUUGGUCAUAAUGUCUCCUCACAGCAAUAAAACCCUAACAAAGACAAGCUUCUUGGGUCUGAUGGACUCUAAGCUGGACCCACUGUUUUGCUUUGUUUUUUUCCAUUGACCACACCUUGCUACUGAAACGACCUUGGGCUGCUCUAACAACUCGUCCUCGGUGUACUUUCACCCAAGGCAGAAAUACAGACAGUGCACUCUCAGGGAUAGAGAGGAUUAUGUACCUCCAGGACAAGACGAAUCUUUUUUACCCAUGUAGCACUAUCUACCCACUGUGCCCAUUGCCUCGGGUGCUAUCAGGGGUUUCCAUGAACCCAAGCACAUCGGGACCAGCAUCCACCAAUGCCUACACAUUCUGCAUAGAAGCAAGGAAACAGCAAACUGAAGAUCCACACGGGCCGGCCAGUUGCCCCGGCAGGUGACCUUGACCACACCUUCAGGGAGGCCACUGAUAUCCUCUUCCCCACAGCAGGUGCAGUGGGGAUCACCAACUCUUGCUCCUUUGGUGGGGUGCCCUUGGGCUUGAAAGCCUUCCAGAUUCUCCCACACACAAGCUCUGUCCUUUCUUUUGUCCUCCCUUGGUUGCUUUAGCACUCUCUGAACUCCCUUUGAAAGCCAGUUCAGGUCACUGGGACCCAGCAGCACCUCUUCUGUUUCAGAGAGCAUUCCCUACCCUGAGGCUCAGCAGAGCCACCGACGCACAGCAGACCAGAGGGCCCUGACAACACAAAUCUGUUUCUUAUGUCUCUGGUAAACACAGACUCAUCUGCUCAGUGAACUGUGCGUCUAUACCACCACAGCCCUGACAGUCACUCCCACCACAGUCUUUCCCAGCAAGUGGCAGACUGGCAUGCACACCUGUCCCAUUAGUGCCCCCUUCCCAGGGACUGCAAUACAUUCCCUGCUCUAUCAGCCGUUCGGGGUGAUCCCUGUACUUCUUUUAUCAAGGAGUUGCUCCACUCAUAAGAUAAGUAGGAACAGUCCACUGGGAUUUCCUCUAUGGUCCAGUCUGACUUUCCCCCAUAAGAGACAGCCAGGCCUCAGACACAUUCCUUAUUGUCCAUAGCGGAGGCAGGAUAUCUCAUGCCACAUCAGGACAAGUGGCCCUAUCCAGAUUGUUCAUGCAGAUGCUCCAUCUUGAGACAAGACCGUCUACAGUGAGAUCAGGCACCACCUCUCCCACCUCAUCUCUGUUUCUGUGUGUCCUGUUUGGUACUGAAAAGAAAAUUAUACGAAUUCUAGGUUUAAAAAUAUAAAAAUUAAAAGAAUAAACCCCAAAAGGCCACAGACCCAGGGCUAAGCCCUGCAGCCAGGACUAGCAGGCCAUAAAGAUAAAGGAGCACAGGAAACACUGUUCAGGCAGGACUGACAAGCCAUAAAGAAAAGGAAUGCAGGAACCAGCCUGAGUUAAUGGGACUGAUUCAUGGGACGUCUGGCAGGAAGACAUCUCCCCCCAGCUCACUCAGGGCCAUCCUCCAGACCCUGAUAAGCCCCUGACUUCUAGCACGUACUCUUUCUGCUUUGUUCUCACUGCUAUGUUUGAAUGAGCCAAUUGUAUGUAACCACGCCAAAACCCCCUAGCCUUCUCUAUAUAACCCUCUGACUUUUGAGUUUCGGGGCCGACACCUCUGUCUCCUGCGCGGGAUAUGUGUCGGCCCGGAGAUCUCUGUAAUAGGUCUCCGUAAUAAACCUCGCCUUUGCUUAUUACAUCCAAAAUGGUCUCUCUGUGUCUGGGGUCCACAAUUUCCCAAGACUUGAGUAAGGGUCUCUCUGCGUGGGAUCUUUCAUAUUUAUGGGGGCUCGUCCGGGAUCUUCGCGACCACCCCAGACUCCGAAGACCCCUUGGAGGCUAAAAGACCUACAGGUGAUACAGAAAAAAAUCUGCUCACAGCUGACAGCAGCCUAUGCCUCGGGGACCUCUGAGACAUCUCAUCAGUUCCAGGUCGGAAGCAGCUACACUGAGCCCAGACACUCGAGCCUCGCUAGAAAGGACCGUACCUGGUGCUGCUGACCACCCUGACAGCCGUCAAUUCUCAGCCCUCACCAGCCGUGUACUAGCUGUUAGGGCUGAGAGCUGGGACCUAGAGGGAAAUUCAGUCAUGUUUGUCCUGGGUUCCAUCGAGAUAGGUGUGGGGAUAGGCUUGAUUUCUAUUACAAAUGAUGUAACAUUACAUAUGUUAAUACUCCUAACACUUCUUGGGACUGUGCCUCAGGGAUCACUACCUGUAUAAGUUUAAAAGUUCUGAAAGACAGUCAUGACCUUGAUAUAUAGGUUCAGAUAGUGUCCAGAUAGAAUCCUGAUGCUAAAAACUUAAUAAAAAAAGAGUUAAAAAUUACUUAGGGCUAGGGCUAUCUAGGUGCUGCAAGGGCAGCACAAGGACAUCUGCUGUUGCCCUACAAUACAAAGCUUAUAGAGAAUUCAGAACUGCCAUUGACUCAGAUAUAAAAAAAAAUAAAAGACUUUUUAGCUGACCUCCAAGAAUACCUAACCUCCCUCUCAGAGGUAGUCCUUCAAAAUAAAAAAAAGAUUAGACCUGAUAUUCCUUAAAGAAGGAGUCUGUGUGCUAUACUGAAAGAAAAAUGUUGCUUCUAUACAGACCAUUCAGGAAUAAUUAAAGACUCCAUAAAUAAACUUAAAAAAAGGUUAGACAAAAGACAGACAGAAAAACACAUCAGAGAUGGUUCGAGAGCUAGUUUAGUAGAUCUCCCUGGAUGACUACCCUACACUCUGCUACAGCUGGGCCAUUAUUAAUAAUUUUCUUGGUUUUAGUUUUUGGCUCCUGCGUGACAAACAGGUUAAUUGCUUUUGUUAAAAAUUGAGUGGGUGCUGUGCGGUUGAUGGUUGUGAGACAACAGUACCAGUCAGUUAGGACAACUGGUGAGACCAAAUAAGACUUGAUAUCAAAAUUCUAAGAUUAGAAUUAUUUAGUAGGAGAAGACGGGAAUGAAAAGAAAAUUAUACGAAUUCUAGGUUUAAAAAUAUAAAAAUUAAAAGAAUAAACCCCAAAAGGCCACAGACCCAGGGCUAAGCCCUGCAGCCAGGACUAGCAGGCCAUAAAGAUAAAGGAGCACAGGAAACACUGUUCAGGCAGGACUGACAAGCCAUAAAGAAAAGGAAUGCAGGAACCAGCCUGAGUUAAUGGGACUGAUUCAUGGGACGUCUGGCAGGAAGACAUCUCCCCCCAGCUCACUGAGGGCCAUCCUCCGGCCCCUGAUAAGCCCCUGACUUCUAGCACGUACUCUUUCUGCUUUGUUCUCACUGCUAUGUUUGAAUGAGCCAAUUGUAUGUAACCACGCCAAAACCCCCUAGCCUUCUCUAUAUAACCCUCUGACUUUUGAGUUUCGGGGCCGACACCUCUGUCUCCUGCGCGGGAUAUGUGUCGGCCCGGAGAUCUCUGUAAUAGGUCUCCGUAAUAAACCUCGCCUUUGCUUAUUACAUCCAAAA